GUGGAAAUUGAGCGAGUAGCAAGAAGUUGUUCGGACAUGAAGAGAAAAUUCAGAACAGACCAGCACUCACUCUGAGUUAAUUGCAUAGCAACCAUAGCAACGCAUGUAUUUUCUGAAAAAUCACAAUUUUGGAACUGAAAACUUAAAGAGGUAUAAAAUUAAAACGGUAGAAGAUCUGAAAAAGCUGAAUCACACAGGAAUAGCCCAAUAAUCUGAGAACAUUUUAAAGUUUGAAUGGAGUUUCUAGGUGAAAGUCUGAGGAAGUAGUUAAGUUUCAAAACCAAGCAAGUUUUAGCAGAAUUGUGGAAGUUUUCCAUUCAUUUCAAUGGGACAAAUUAAAGGAAAAAAGUGUAAUAUUUUAAAAAGUAUAAUAGUAAUAAACACCAAAAGAUAUAGCAGUCGAAAGCAGAAGUAGCAGAACAGUUUAGAGUUUGAACGGUGAAAAUCUGCUGAAAACUGAGGGAGUAGUUAAGCGGCAAAAAAACGGAGCAACUAGAAUAAGUAGAAAAAUUUGCAUUUCCUGUGAAAAUGCUGUGUGGAUGCCUUAACGCUGAAGCUGUCUGCUGAAAAGAUGAAAAAGAUGAAAAGUUGCAAAAAGUUGUAUGGUGGUGAAAAAAACAAUGUUGCCUUGAGCAGGAUUCGAACCUGGUCCUCUUGGUCUCAAGGCAGCUACUCAGCUGACUGACCCAAACUCAUUCUCAAAAAGAAGAGGUGGAGAGACGGACAAUUCUGCUGAAAUGAGCAGAAGCUGCUGAGAAUUGUGCUGAUAAGAGGAGAAAAGGCUGAAAAUUUUGCAGAAAAGAGGUGAAUCAGCAGAAUUUCUGCUGAAAAGAGGUAAAGAAGCAGAAAGUUGCGCUGAAAAGACAUGAAUCAGCAGAAUUUUUUGCUCAAAAGUGUUUUUUCCGAAAACAGCUGAGAUUUGUGCUAAUAAGAGGUGAAAAGGCUGAAAAUUUUGCAGAAGAGGUGAAUAAGCAGAAUUUGGCCUUAAAAGAGGUGAAAAUUCUGCUGAAAAGAGUUCAAUCAGCAGAAUUUCAGAGUUCUGCAGAACUCUUUUCAGAAUUCUGCUGAAAAGAGGUUUUUGCUGAAAACAGCAGAAAAAGCUGGGAUUUGUGCUGAAAAGUGGUGAAAAAACUGAAAAUUUGGCUGAAAAGGGGUGAAAAAGCUGAAAUUGAGUUAAAAAAGUUUAACUGUUAACUGAAAGAAAUGUUGCCAUAAGCGGGAUUCGAACCCGGCCCUCCUGGUCUGUGAACGGCUACUCAUCUCACUGAGCUAAAACAUGGCUCAGCCCGGCAAGCAAAACUGGUGAUCACACUGAUAAUGUGGUCCCUGUCAGCAAAAAGGGCCAAAAAUGGCAUAAAAGUUAAUAUCUCAAAAAGUAUAAAAGUUAUCAUCACCAAAAGAUAUAGCAGUCGAAAGCAGAAAUAGCAGAACAGUUUAGAUUUUGA
ensembl:lncRNA